GCUUGGACUUAAGCAUAUCAAUAAGUCGGAGGAGUUAGGUACUAACAAGGAUUCCCCUAGUAACUGCGAGUGAAGCGGGAAAAGCUCAAAUUUAAAAUCUGGCGGUCUUUGGCCGUCCGAGUUGUAGUCUGGAGAAGUGCUUUCCGCGCUGGACCGUGUACAAGUCUCUUGGAACAGAGCGUCAUAGAGGGUGAGAAUCCCGUCUUUGACACGGACUACCAGUGCUUUGUGAUGCGCUCUCAAAGAGUCGAGUUGUUUGGGAAUGCAGCUCAAAAUGGGUGGUGAAUUCCAUCUAAAGCUAAAUAUUGGCGAGAGACCGAUAGCGAACAAGUACCGUGAGGGAAAGAUGAAAAGCACUUUGGAAAGAGAGUUAAACAGUACGUGAAAUUGCUGAAAGGGAAACGCUUGAAGUCAGUCGCGUCGUCCGGAACUCAGCCUUGCUUCGGCUUGGUGCACUUUCCGGAUGACGGGCCAGCAUCGAUUUUGACCGCCGGAAAAGGGUAGGAGGAAUGUGGCACCUUCGGGUGUGUUAUAGUCUCCUAUCGCAUACGGCGGUUGGGAUCGAGGAACGCAGCGCGCCUUAUGGCUGGGGUUCGCCCACAUUCGCGCUUAGGAUGCUGGCUAUAAUCCCGGCUUUAAACGACCCGUCUUAACAC
rnacentral:rRNA from 1 species